UUUUUUGUACUAAAACAAAAUAAUCUGCACCUGACAGAAGUGGCAGAUUUUCUUCUAGCCGUAAAAGAUGGAAUUGUCGUUACCUUCUGCUUGGUCUAGUUAAUAAUGAAAACUUACCAAUAAAGCACUUAAAAACAUCAUUGCUGCUUAAGAAUAAAAAAAGUAUCAAAUUUAAAACCCAAGUUAUCUGCAUGCGGUGUGUGGGCGCAUCCUUAUACAUAUGCUCAUGUGCAAGACUGAAGAUUUUGCAACUACCCCAGUAGUUUUAUUGAGAACGAUUACUGACUGGGAUUGUUAAUGAAUUUUAUUGUGUGCCGUAAAUACCAUGUUCUUCAUUUACUCUGCAGGGCUUGAUCCGUGCAGUUGCCAGUGGAUCAGUGUGACUAAAGCCCUGGAUUUCACAGUAAGGAUUGGAAGUCCCCAGAAAAUUUGAACUUCAUGAAGGAAUGUUAGCUUAAAAACAAGCACUGUUAAAAAAACCCUACUGAGUAAGUAUUAAUGCUGUGUUUCUAUUCUAUAAACUUGUUGGCAACCCUGGUUUUAAACAUGCUUGCCUCUAGAGCUUGUUGAAAAGCUGGAACAUUAUCUUGACUGAAAUAUUUCAACCAGCUCUCACUGCUACAGGCUUUCCUAAAACUAUAGCUCUAGUGCCUGUCAAAAUCAAGACAAAUAAAGAAAGGGAGGUGUGAGGGGAGGAAGGCCUUUUCUUAAUAAAGGCAGCUUCAGUUAGUAAGAUAACAUAAUCUUCAAGCUGCAAAAGCAGCACCUACUAAUUAGUCAUUGACUAAAACAUAAAUAAUAAAUACCUAAAUUGUUCCUUCUAUGCAUCCAUUUUUGUGCCAGAUAAACAUUUCAAUGCUCUGCCUAAUGCCAGCACAGCUGACACCGCGAUUUCCAGUCCAAAGCAAACUGCAAGUAGCUUUAAACCAAUACGACGGAGAGAGAUACUACAAGCCACUGGCGUCUGUGUGUUACGGUCAUCUUGCAACUGUUAUUUAAAAGGGAAUUCAACCUUUCUGUGAGAUGCGAUUAUAGAAUGAUUUAAGGGUCUAUUUCCCUCCUGAUGUGGAUGCUUAACUCUCAUCAGCAGAAAGUUAGCCAUACACACAGAAGGGUAAACAGAUACCUUAAUUACAUCAACAGGAUUUUUUUCUUAAAACCCAAGAGCUUUUAAUAACCUUUUUGGGUUAUGUUGUUAACAAGAGAUUACCACAGCAACAACAACAAAGUGCAUGUUUUAUGCUAAUGUAAAAUGCAUUAGUUAGUUGGAAACGAACCUACAUUUUAAAAAGUUACUGGAAUAUAAAUGAUUUUUUUUUCCUACUGUAGAAAAUGCUGCUUAAAAUGACACAAAACAUGCCUGGUUAAAACAAGACGCAACCUGCUAGGAAUGCUGAAGAUAGGCAAGGGUACUUUGUUGACAGCAUAAAGUAAAUGCGCUGACAAACAUCGCAUUGCUCUCCUUCCUUUUCAGCUCAUGGCUUCGGUCAGGAAUCCACAUCCUGCACAACCUUCCAGAUGUCCUGCACAAGCCCAGAAGGACCCUUUGUCAUGAAGAGCUGAGAGAUCUGAGAUCAUGUGAGGGAAUUAGUGUUAAGACUUACUAGGCAAUACUCAACCCAGGCAAGGAACAUGUGGUAGAUUUAGGUUCCAGUUCUACCAUUUUACUGGUUCUGCGCAACUCCACUGCCCGAAAGAAAACUCAGCUCAGCUCGCAAGCAGGAUCAGCAAAGGGUGUCAGC
rnacentral:lncRNA from 1 species